UACAGAGGUCCCAAGCGUUGUUCGGAAUUACUGGGCGUAAAGGGCUCGUAGGUGGCCAACUAAGUCAGACGUGAAAUCCCCAGGCUUAACCUGGGAACUGCGUCUGAUACUGGAUGGCUUGAAUUCGGGAGAGGGAUGCAGAAUUCCAGGUGUAGCGGUGAAAUGCGUAGAUAUCUGGAGGAAUACCGGUGGCGAAGGCGGCAUCCUGGACCGAGAUUGACACUGAGGAGCGAAAGCUAGGGGAGCAAACGGG
rnacentral:rRNA from 1 species